GAAUACCAUUUUGUACUGAUGGCAUUGAAGCGCGGGAAAACCCCAGGUUUUUCAAUUUGGUCUGCCAAUUACCGUUUUACCCUUUUGGUGGAAAGCAUUGGCCUGUGCACACUGCACAAGAGCUGGACGGUUCACACUGCAGAAUUGACAAAUUUCAUUGCUGAAUGCUGAAGGUUUGAAAUGCGGGGUCAUCAUUACAAACCCAUGUCAUCAUUAAGUGCUUAUGAAAUAAGCUAGAAACAGCUUAUGGACAUGUCAUAAGUUGUUUUUAUAAGCUUUUCUCAGACAAUUUUUCAAGUGUUUAUGCAGGUAUUUCUGAAUGACAGAUACCAUAUGAGAAAUGCUCAUGCAGAGUGUCAGGAAGCAAUUUACCAAGUUGUUCGGGGAAGCUUUCAAAGCUAAUGUUCUCACCGAACCUUAUGUGCAAAAAAUGGCGUCAAACAUGCUGAUUAUCAAUGCAACACGGGUACAAGGAUACGCGAUGGAGGCUGUCUGGUCAUUUUAAAAAGAAGAAUGGAAAAAAGAAGAAAGUCAUUGACAUUGCUCUUGAGGAUUUAGAGUAAAUCUUAGUGUUCUGUCUCUUUUAUAUUUCAGUAAUUUUUUGUUGCUUCAUUUAUAUAGUUUGAAGAUGCUGAAGUUUUCUUUUUCUAUUACCAA